UAUAUAAAAUUAUAAAACAAUAGAGUCAAGUAACUUGAAAAACAACUAAAAAUACAUAAACUUUAUCAUCCAAAAAGGAGUAGCGGUAAUUAUCCGCUUUACUUCCAUUAUGGUGUAAUUCAUACUAUAUUUCUUUGUCAUAUAAUUACUAUAAUAAAAAUACUACUAUGAUUAUAACCUCAUAUAAUUUCAUCACAUAGAUGAGGCAAUGUGUGUACUACAAUGAAUAUAUUUAUUUGAAUACAUAAUGCAACCUAUUUAGGGUUUAUGGAUUGAAAGUGUUUGGGAGAAAAAUGGAAAGAAGGAGAAAAAAGAAUUGGUUGAUUCGGGAGUGCUGGGAACUGGAGCUGAGACACGGGAAGUUGAAAAUGAAUCAGAGACAGCUAGAAAAUGGUGGAAGACUUCCUUCAGGCAAUGAUGGAAUUACAGAUAAAUCUGAUAAAUCUGACAAAGAUGAUUUUGGUAAAGAUGGGAUGGUAGGGUUUGGUAGUGUGGUUGUUUGAAGAAGCAUCCUCUAAAGGUCUCAGAGGCUAGAACAUCAUAGUCUUUGAAGCGGAAGCCUCUAAAGGAGUCAGCGGAUGGAAUAGCCUGACCUCUGAAGCUUUAUUAGCUUCUGAACCAUCAACUUCUGAAGGAGUCAGAGGUGGGAACUACUUCUAAAUCGCCGGAGUCAGAAGCAACUUAUAAAGUGUGGUUGGAGUCUGAACCAGCUUCUGAAGAGUGGCUGGAGUCUGAAGCAGCUUCUGCAGAGUGACUAGAGUUUGAAGAUGCAGAGUCUGAAGUAAUCGCUUCUGAUGUGUAUCACUUGGUGAAAGUUUGGAUUAAGGGAGCAUGGUGUGUAUUAAUUUAAUCUUAGUUAGUUAGUUAAUUACUAUAUGUGUAUAAAUACUAACUACUUAUGUAAUUUUGAACAACCCUCUUCAAUAAUAACAAUCAUCUAUUCUCAUUCAUCACUCUCUCUUCUUUUCCCUUCCUCUCCAAUACUCUCUUUAUCCUUCUCUCAAUUAACUUCCGCAUACGGAAAGUGUAAUAACACCAAGGUGGAAUGUUGAGAGAUGAAAUAUUGGUAGGAAAGUUAGGAAGCGGUGGCAUAGUGAGUUUAGGAAGAGAUGGAAUGUUUUAGUUGGCGAUGCCAAUGUUGGAAUAUUUCCAAGUAAAGGUGGCAAUGUUUGAAUUAAAGGUAAAGGUGGAAAUCGUAACAUUUUGCAAAGUGUUUAUUUUAGGUAAACUUAGUUGUGUGGUUAUUUACAAAAGAUUGCGAGUUUUCUAGACUUGUUCCUGACAUUGUCACAACAAAAAGUAAAGCAGUGAUGAAGGAUUUUGUUGAGGCCAUUGAUAACAUGGUGAACUGUAAGAGUAUAUCAUUAGUAUUGAAAUAUUUUUAUUUGGUAUUUUAUGAGAAUAAAAUGAAUGCUAUAUGGUUUUAUAUUGUGUGAGAUAUUUGAAGGAUGGUAGUUUGGUGAACCAUUAAGAGUGUUUGAAAUCGUAACUUUGUUUAACUUCCUGUAUUGGAUUUUGACGAAAUCAUUUUAUGUGGUUAUAUUAGUGACCUAUAAUAAGUAAUCAACUCAUGAGAUUUUGAGUGACACACACUUUUUAUCUCAAGUCUUCAUCACCAAACCAACUCCUAUAUAGGGUAAGACUCAGAUGUUUCUUUUUCGUAUUUAUCUCCUAUCUCAAGUCUUCUGAAGCUGGUUCAGACUCCAACCACUCUUUAUAAGAUGCUUCUGACUCCAGCGAUUUAGAAGUAGUUCCCACCUCUGACUCCUUCAAAAGUUGAUGGUUCAGAAGCUAACAAAGCUUCAGAGGUCAGGCUAUUCCAUCCACUAACUCCUUUAGAGGCUUCCGCUUCAGAGACUAUGAUGGUCUAGACUCUGACACCUUUAGAGGAUGAUUAUUUAUAAAUUUUUAGUAAUUAGAGGGAUAUAUUUCACAAAUUUCAUGAUGCUUAAUAAACUUCAUGACAAAUUUUAAAGUAGCAAACUUCAAUAAAUUUGGGUUGUGAAUUUCACCUAAUUAACUUGUUAUUACUUCUUGUUGCACGAAACAUAGAAGUUAUUUUUUUAUACAUGAUCGAUCAUAUACCUAUGUUUAUAUUUAUGUAGGUAUAUAUCAUCUAUACUGAUGGUUUUAUCAUCCAUCACUAACGGUGUCCGUUGGUAUAUGAUAAAACUAUUGUAAUGGUCUAUUGAUGUUUCGUUCACCAAACUACCAUCCUUCAAAUAUCUGACACAAUAUUAAACCAUAUAACAUUCAUUUUAUUCCCAUAAAAUUCCUAAGAAAAAUCUUUCAAUACUAAUGAUAUACUCUUACAAUUCACCAAGUUAUCAAUGGCCUCAACAAAAUCCUUCAUCACUGCUUUACUUUUUGUUGUGACAAUGUCAGGAACAAGUCUAGAAGCUCGCAAUCUUUUGUAAAUAACCACACAACUAAGUUUAAGGGGGUUGCUCCAAAUGAUACACAUCAGAAGCGAUUACUUCAGACUCUGCAUCUUCAGACUCCAGUCACUCUGCAGAAGCUGCUUCAGACUCCAGCCACUCUUCAGAAGCUGGUUCAGACUCCAACCACUCUUUAUAAGCUUCUUCUGACUCCAGCGAUUUAGAAGUAGUUCCCACCUUUGACUUCUUUAGAACUUGAUGGUUCAGAAGCUAACAAAGCUUCACAGGUCAUGCUAUUCAAUCCGCUCACUCCUUUAGAGGCUCCCGCUUCAGAGACUAUGAUGUUCUAGCCUCUGACACCUUUAGAGGAUGAUUAUUUCUAAAUUUUUAGUAAUUAGAGUGAUAAAUUUCACAAAUUUCAUGAUGCUUAAUAAGCUUCAUGACAAAUUUUAAAGUAGCAAACCUCAAUAAAUUUGGGUUGUGAAUUUCACCUAAUUAACUUGAUUUUAUCAUGAUACUCAAUUUGGGUUGCAAAUUUCACCUAAUUAACUUGAUUUCGAAGUAGCCAAAUCCCCGUGUUUGUUUUUUUAGAGAUGUUAUUGAUUCUCUCUUUCUUGUUUUUCAUUGUACAGAGAAUGGCUAGGAGGAGAGAGUAGGGUUUGCUGAACGUGAAACAAUAGUUUCGUUAAGUACGGUUAAGAGUCGUCGGUUAUUUAAUUCAAAGCCCUAAAAUCAAUCUAGAAAUUUAAAAAAAAGAAAGAAAAGGAAAAGACUUGCAGAUCUAGAAUAACAUAUAUACCAUCCUAGCCUAUAGCAUCUCAAAUCUCUUUGUCAUUAUUGACAAUUAGUUUCUCUUCCUCCUCUAGGAGACUGAGAUUAAACAUAUUUUUCUUCGCCGACAACUUAUGUAUUUUUCCGUAUGGUUAUGGUUUAGAAUAUUUUUGGAAGGUAAUAUACUUGUAAGAAAAAGAGUGACCGAGGUAACAAAAUUUUGAGAGGGAAUAAUAUUGUGUGGAAAAUGAAAUUUUAGAGAAAUGGUUAUGGUUUAGAAUAUUUUUGGAAGGUAAUAUACUUGUAAGAAAAAGAGUGACCGAGGUAACAAAAUUUUGAGAGGGAAUAAUAUUGUGUGGAAAAUGAAAUUUUAGAGAGGAAAAGGGAAAUUUUGGAGGAAUCGCUUUGAAAAUAAAAACGGAUGGAAGAAAUAAUUUGGAUCUUGUUGUAGGUUAACAUAUAUGUUUUUGGUGUAGAUAUCUUUGUAAAAGUGUAAAUUUAAAUACUCAUAGAAACUUUUUAACUAUUAUUAUGAUUAUUUAACUUUACCUUAUUUUUAUAAAUAAAUAUAUACUUUCCAUCUUUCAUUUUUAUUUUAAAAUUAUUAAAAUAUUUUUUGAUACUACUUAAAAAUAAAGAGAAGAUAAAAUCGGAAAAGUAAUAAUAAUAAUAAUAAUAAUAAAAAUAAUAUAAAUGGAAAGUAAAAUAUAAAGAAGAAAAAUUGAAUUCUUGUUGCACAGAACUUAUAAGUUAUUUUUUUAUACAUGAUCGAUCAUAUACCUAUGUUUAUAUUUAUGUAGGUAUAUAUCAUCUAUACUAGUGGUUUUAUCAGCCAUCAGUAACAGUGUCCGUUGGUAUAUGAUAAAACUAUUGUAGUGGUCUAUUGAUGUUUCGUUGUACAUGUGGGGAGUACUUCGAUCUCUGUUAGUAAUAGCAAAUGAAUAUUCUAAAACUAAAAAGAGGUAAGUUGAUUUGAUCUCAGUUACUUUGAUCUCGAUUCAAAUAUGCAUAUAUCGUCUUUAUUUGGUUCGCCGUUUGUUUGUUCAUUUGCGAUAUGUGCUUCUUUUAUUUGUUUUGCUCGUUUGAUGGUUGAUACAGUUGAAUAGAUUUUGUGAACUGAUGUUGAAGUAUGCCUAGAUUUCAUUUUAAUUCAUUUUUGGUACUCCUUUUAGCUCUUUUUAUAUCUUUUCUUCUUUUCUAAUCUCAUUUUAUCAUCUUUAAUAUAUUAUAGAGUUUAUCGUGAUGUAUUUUAUAUGAUUGUAACUUUCAUUAGUGUCUUGAAUUUGAAGUAACCAUUAAAGUGUGAGUUUAUCUAAACUAAAAUAGCAAGCUAACACUUUUAUUGUACAUAUGUCACUUCCUACAUUUAUAGCUCAGUAGCUUGCUUACAAGAUGGUUUGUCUAUUUAUUAAAUUGUUAGAUUUUAGAUUUCCUGAGCCCAAAUAUAGGAAGGAUUGUCAAAUAAUAUGAUCUUCAUCCCACCUACAAUCUUAAAUAAAAUUGAUAAUAGGAAAUAGAAGAAGAAAAAUCAUUAUAUUCUCACCUCUAUAAUUAGCCAACAAAUUUAACCACAAAAUACUUUUAGCAAAGUAAAAUAUAGAAAGCUAUACUAAUAUCUCUUACCCUAUAUAAGACCAUCAAUCCUCCAUUUCCUUCUCAUCAAAUCCCAAACUAUAUUCUCUCAAUACAAUUCUUCAAGUUAUCAUCAAUGGCUUCCUCCAAAUUCUUCAUCCUAGCUUUACUCUUUGUCGUAACAAUGACAAGCAUCAAUGUCGAUGCGCGUAGUCUUCUUCAAACAACCACACUACCAAACCCUACCAUCCCAUCUUUACCAAAAUCAUCUUUGUCAGAUUUAUCAGAUUUAUCUGUAAUUCCAUCAUUGCCUGAAGGAAGUCUUCCACCAUUUUCUAGCUUUCCAUCCACUGAUUCAUUUUUCAACAUUCCACCAGUGUCAUCACCAGCUCCCACUCCAGUUCCCAGCACUCCCGAAUCAACCAAUUCUUUUUUCUCCUUCUUUCCAUUUUUCUCCCAAACACUUUCAAUCCAUAAACCCUAAAUAGGUUGCAUUAUGUAUUCAAAUAAAUAUAUUCACUAUAGUACACACAUUGCCUCAUUUAUGUGAUGAAAUUAUAUGAGGUUAUAAUGAUAGUAGUAUUUUUAUUGUAUUAAUUGUAUGACUAAGAAAUAUAGUAUGAAUUACACCAUAAUGGAAGUAAAGCGGAUAAUUACCGCUACUCCUUUUUGGAUGAUAAAGUUUAUGUAUUUUUAGUUGUUUUUCAAGUUACUUGACUCUAUUGUUUUGUAAUCUUAUAUAUAUUAUAUUAAUAAUGAAUCACACAUUUAUAUACUACUUGAAAGACUCCUUUCUUCUUUUGGUUUAAUUCUUA
rnacentral:lncRNA from 1 species